rnacentral:tRNA from 1 species
GGGAAUGUGGCUUAGUGGUAGAGUGCUUGCCUCGCAUGCAAGAAACCCCUGGGUUCGAUUCCG